rnacentral:rRNA from 1 species
GACGAACGCUGGCGGCGUGCUUAACACAUGCAAGUCGAGCGGAGCGGCGAACGGGUGCGUAACGCGUGAGUAACUGCCCCCCUCUCUGGGGUAACCGUUGGAAACGGCUGCUAAUAACGGAUAGUGGGGGCUGACUCGCGUGCUAUAAGUUUGUUGGUGGGGUAGUGGCCUACCAAGGCGACGCCGGGUAGGCGGCCUGAGAGGGCUACCGGCCACAUUGGGCUGUCAUACUGGCCGAAGUCCGACGGGAGGCAGGAGAGGGGGAGUUUGCACGAUGGGGGAAACCCUGAUGCAGCAACGCGCGUGCGGGAUGACGGCCUUCGGGUUGAAAACCGCUUUCAGCCAUGACGCGGUAGUGGCAGAAGAAGCACCGGCUAACUCCGUGCCAGCAGCCGCGGUAAUAC